rnacentral:rRNA from 1 species
GGGAAACUGCCCGAUGGAGGGGGAUAACUACUGGAAACGGUAGCUAAUACCGCAUAACGUCGCAAGACCAAAGUGGGGGACCUUCGGGCCUCACACCAUCGGAUGUGCCCAGAUGGGAUUAGCUAGUAGGUGGGGUAAUGGCUCACCUAGGCGACGAUCCCUAGCUGGUCUGAGAGGAUGACCAGCCACACUGGAACUGAGACACGGUCCAGACUCCUACGGGAGGCAGCAGUGGGGAAUAUUGCACAAUGGGCGCAAGCCUGAUGCAGCCAUGCCGCGUGUAUGAAGAAGGCCUUCGGGUUGUAAAGUACUUUCAGCGGGGAGGAAGGCGGUGGAGUUAAUAGCUUCACCGAUUGACGUUACCCGCGGAAGAAGCACCGGCUAACUCCGUGCCAGCAGCCGCGGUAAUACGGAGGGUGCAAGCGUUAAUCGGAAUUACUGGGCGUAAAGCGCACGCAGGCGGUCUGUCAAGUCGGAUGUGAAAUCCCCGGGCUUAACCUGGGAACUGCAUUCGAAACUGGCAGGCUGGAGUCUUGUAGAGGGGGGUAGAAUUCCAGGU